AGGGAAAGAGGGAGGGAGGAAGAAAAAAGGAAAGUGGAAUGGAAGCACAGUAAGAGCUUGCUCUUACGGGUGGCGAGUGGCGGACGGGUGAGGAAUACAUCGGAAUCUACUUUUUCGUGGGGGAUAACGUAGGGAAACUUACGCUAAUACCGCAUACGACCUACGGGUGAAAGCAGGGGAUCUUCGGACCUUGCGCGAUUGAAUGAGCCGAUGUCGGAUUAGCUAGUUGGCGGGGUAAAGGCCCACCAAGGCGACGAUCCGUAGCUGGUCUGAGAGGAUGAUCAGCCACACUGGAACUGAGACACGGUCCAGACUCCUACGGGAGGCAGCAGUGGGGAAUAUUGGACAAUGGGCGCAAGCCUGAUCCAGCCAUACCGCGUGGGUGAAGAAGGCCUUCGGGUUGUAAAGCCCUUUUGUUGGGAAAGAAAAGCAGCAGGUUAAUACCCCGCUGUUCUGACGGUACCCAAAGAAUAAGCACCGGCUAACUUCGUA
rnacentral:rRNA from 1 species